ACGCUGGCGGCCUGCUAACACCUGCAGUUUAACGCUAUUUAUAGAGUGGCGCACGGGUGAUGAUAACGCGUGGGAACCUGCCUUUUUCUGCAGGAUAACGGUUGGAAACGACCGCUAAUACCGCAUACGCCCUACGGGGGAAAGGUCCGCCGGAGAAAGAGGGGCCCGCGUCUGAUUAGCUUGUUCGGUAGGGUAAUGGCCUACCAAGGCUACGAUCAGUAGCUGGUCUGAGAGGAUGAUCAGCCACACUGGGACUGAGGCACGGCCCAGACUCCUACGGGAGGCAGCAGUGGGGAAUAUUGGACAAUGGGGGCAACCCUGAUCCAGCAAUGCCGCGUGUGUGAUGAAGGCCUUAGGGUUGUAACAGCACUUUCACUGGUGAAGAUGAUGACGGUAACCAGAGAAGAAGCCCCGGCUAACUUCGUGCCAGCAGCCGCGGUAAUACGAAGGGGGCGAGCGUUGUUCGGAAUUACUGGGCGUAAAGGGCGCGUAGGCGGUCUUUUAAGUUAGGCGUGAAAGCCCCAGGGCUCAACCCGGGAACUGCGCUUAAAGACUGGAAGACUAGAAAACGGAAGAGGGUACGUGGAAUUCCCAGUGUCACAGGUGAAAUUCGUAGAUCAUUGGGGAAGAACACCAGUGGCGA
rnacentral:rRNA from 1 species